rnacentral:rRNA from 1 species
UACAGAGGGUGCGAGCGUUGUUCGGAAUUACUGGGCGUAAAGCGCGCGCAGGCGGCCCUUUAAGUCUACCCGUGAAAUGCCGGAGCUCAACUCUGUGCACGCCGGGGGAUACUGGGGGGCUGGAGACAGGUAGAGGCAAGCGGAAUUCCGGGUGUAGCGGUGGAAUGCGUAGAUAUCCGGAAGAACACCUGAGGCGAAGGCGGCUUGCUGGGCCUGAUCUGACGCUGAGGCGCGAAAGCGUGGGGAGCAAACAGG